GUCAGUCUUUUGGAUAACAAAAAUAGCACUAUCGUCUCUGAAAGGAGGGUGACAGAUCCUGAAAAUCCAACAAUGCUUUCAAUACGGUUACUAAUGCCCUCUACUUUAAACUCUAAGCAGUACGCCAUUAAAGUUCAAGGAGAGGGGGGCAUUAAUUUUAGUAACUACACAAAAGUAUAUUUUUAUCCUAAAAACUCCUCUUUGAUCAUCAAAACUGAUAAAAACAUCUACAA